rnacentral:rRNA from 1 species
AUGACGACCGGCGCACGGGUGCGCACCGCGUAUGGAACCUGCCUUGUACAGGGGAAUAGCCCAGGGAAACUUGGAUUAAUGCCCCGUAGUACCGUGUCCCGGCAUCGGGAUACGGUUAAAGCCUUCGGGCGGUACAAGAUGGCCAUGCGUCCCAUUAGCUAGUUGGUAAGGUAACGGCUUACCAAGGCUACGAUGGGUAGGGGCCCUGAGAGGGGGAUCCCCCACACUGGUACUGAGACACGGACCAGACUCCUACGGGAGGCAGCAGUGAGGAAUAUUGGACAAUGGAGGGGACUCUGAUCCAGCCAUGCCGCGUGCAGGAAGAAUGCCCUAUGGGUAGUAAACUGCUUUUAUACGGGAAGAAAAAGAGCUACGUGUAGCUUACUGACGGUACCGUAAGAAUAAGGACCGGCUAACUCCGUGCCAGCAGCCGCGGUAAUACGGAGGGUCCGAGCGUUAUCCGGAAUUAUUGGGUUUAAAGGGUCCGUAGGCGGGCCGAUAAGUCAGGGGUGAAAGUCUGCCGCUCAACGGUAGAACUGCCUUUGAUACUGUCGGUCUUGAGUUAUAGUGAAGUUGCCGGAAUAUGUAGUGUAGCGGUGAAAUGCAUAGAUAUUACAUAGAACACCGAUUGCGAAGGCAGGUGACUAACUAUAUACUGACGCUGAUGGACGAAAGCGUGGGGAGCGAACAGGAUUAGAUACCCUGGUAGUCCACGCCGUAAACGAUGGAUACUAGCUGUCCGAGGCCUUGAGUCUUGGGCGGCCAAGCGAAAGUGAUAAGUAUCCCACCUGGGGAGUACGUUCGCAAGAAUGAAACUCAAAGGAAUUGACGGGGGCCCGCACAAGCGGUGGAGCAUGUGGGUUUAAUUCGAUGAUACGCGAGGAACCUUACCAGGGCUUAAAUGCAUAUUGACAGGUCUAGAGAUAGAUUUUCCUUCGGGCAAUUUGCAAGUGCUGCAUGGUUGUCGUCAGCUC